GAGAAACAUCAGGAAUAAUUCUUGGCUUCAAGAAUCUCAGUUUUUAAUUGCAACAAGACUAGUGAGUAAAAUUAAAGUUAAGUGAUCAGUUUGUACAGAAUAUAAAGAACUACCAAAUUUUCUUGGAGAUCAAGGACAGAGAAGUUCAUCUGAUCAGUUUGAGCAAUGUUUACUGUGAGUACAAGAUUGAUGGGGCAUCCCUGAUGGAGUGAAAGAUACCAAACACCAGGCCUGGAUGGCCAGGGAAUAGGCUGCCCACAAGAGGAGGAAGGCACAGGAGGAAGGCCUCUGGUCUGUGUGGGAACAGGAAGAAGAGCAAUCAGGUUGGAAAGGAAGUUUCAGAGAUGAAGAUUUGGAGAGGACCUGGGAGAUCUGGAAUUAAUCUCAGAUCAUCCAUUUGAAAUGCUAUCUGGAGCAAGCUUCUCUUUUUGAGGGCUCAGAUUCCUUUGUGAAAAAUGGCACCUGUUACUUAGAGGCUUCUGAUGGAUUGAGCGUCUUAUAGGAGCCGAUUAAGGCAAGUGGUGAAGGACUCAAAGGUAAGAGGGUGAGCUUGGUGGCCUAAUGGGAGUGACCAGAGACCUCUCAUCCUUUUCACCCUGUGAGGAGACAGCAAGAAGGCACUGUCCACAAGCCAGAAGGUAAA